GAUGAACGCUAGCUACAGGCUUAACACAUGCAAGUCGAGGGGUAACGAGAGGAAAGCUUGCUUUCCUUGUCGACGACCGGCGCACGGGUGAGUAACGCGUAUCCAACCUGCCCCCAACUAGGGAAUAACCUUGCGAAAGUAAGACUAAUACCCUAUAAUUUCCUCAGAUGUCAUCUGACGAGGAAUAAAGAUUUAUCGGUUGUGGAUGGGGAUGCGUCUGAUUAGCUUGUUGACGGGGUAACGGCCCACCAAGGCAACGAUCAGUAGGGGUUCUGAGAGGAAGGUCCCCCACAUUGGAACGGAGACACGGUCCAAACUCCUACGGGAGGCAGCAGUGAGGAAUAUUGGUCAAUGGGCGGAAGCCUGAACCAGCCAAGUAGCGUGCAGGAUGACGGCCCUAUGGGUUGUAAACUGCUUUUAUACAGGAAUAAAGUUAGCCACGUGUGGUUAUUUGUAGGUACUGUAUGAAUAAGGACCGGCUAAUUCCGUGCCAGCAGCCGCCGUAA
rnacentral:rRNA from 1 species